CAGUCGCCACGGGAAUACGUAGGGUGCGAGCGUUAAUCGGAAUUACUGGGCGUAAAGCGAGCGCAGACGGUUAUUUAAGCAGGAUGUGAAAUCCCCGGGCUUAACCUGGGAACUGCGUUCUGAACUGGAUAGCUAGAGUGUGUCAGAGGGGGGUAGAAUUCCACGUGUAGCAGUGAAAUGCGUAGAGAUGUGGAGGAAUACCGAUGGCGAAGGCAGCCCCCUGGGAUAACACUGACGUUCAUGCUCGAAAGCGUGGGUAGCAAACAGGAUUAGAUACCCGAGUAGUCCCUGUCUCUUAUAC
rnacentral:rRNA from 1 species